GGUAAAUCCAAAUUCCCCUCCUCUUCUCGAUGGUCCUUUAGCGCAAAAUUUACAACUUUCGCGCUUACUUUUCCCUCCAAUUACUCAGAAAAGGCUAAAUAAAUUGGGUCCCACGCCCAUCCACAUCCAGCCCAACCGCCCAUCGUUCGGCGGCUACCUCGCCGCACUCCAACGCCCAGCACGCCGAGCACGCUGCCCCUUCAGCGCCAAGCACGCCGCCCCUUCAGCACCCAGUGCGGCCGCCACCUGCAACCCCUUCCCAUCCCAACCUCAGCCCCCAUAUCGAUCUGCCGCUUCCUCAACUUGCCUGCUUUGGCGCCGUUUCCUCGAUCUGCCUCGGCGUCGUUCGGAUUGUUGCGCCGACGGCUUCAUCGGUCUUCAGCUCUGGCACCUACAUCCUGAAGGAAUACGAUCUCGUGGCUGGUAUGAAUUUGACGCUCACCCUUUCCUGAUCUGUCUGUGAGAUGCAUGCUAGGUAAAUCACCACCAGGGCCGGCCCAGAGGGGGGCGAGGGAUGGAAGAAGAGGCCCCCGAUAUGUGCCAUGUUUUGUCCAUGUACGGAUCGACCAGCUAUCGUGGCUUGCCGCAUGCAGCAAAGCAGCACAGUGAAUCAUGUUCAGGCACAAGGCAAACUGAGGAAAAACAAUAUCGCAUUAAUCGAAUGCUGCUACUAAAGAGUAAAAGGUUAAAGGUCACACCGUCUAGGUUGCAAAGAGAGCUUUCACAAGACCUUUUCGGAAGUAAUCUCACCAGCUCCUUAAUGACUGGAAGCAACCCAGAAUGCUGCACAGCGAUACUUCGUGUAAGGAAGGGCAACAUCAGUUCUGUAGGAGGUAAAUAUAUAUCUUCGUUGCUUAAAUAGACUACAAAAAAUCUGUUCAGUGCUACCCUUGUCUUAAAAGUUGAAAUCAAGCAUUGAUGUCCACAUCACAUGGUGGUCGUAUUUCCUUCUACUCAAGCUGAAACUAAUGAAUAGUUCAAACUUAUGCUUCAUAAUAAUUUGGAGAUUAAUAUUCAUCAAAAUUAAGCAGGGAUAUGACCACCAAAGUACAUGAGUAUUACACCCAGAUUUGUUUUUAAAAAGUAAUGUACUCACAUGAGAAGCGGUCUACUAUAUGCACCAAGAACUCCAGCCAAUCAGGUCGGUAGAGUUCUGUUGGUAUGGCAGCUACUGAUUUCUUUGCUGAAGUGAGAACAUUGAUACCUUUUUGGAGUAAUUAUGUGCCUUUUGGAGAAUUGUUAUUUUUCUUGUACCAAUUAUUUCUGGAUGUACCGAUCAUUAUCAUUCAAUGUUAAUAUUGUUCAUAAUAUAGGUUGAUUCCAAAGUAGUUUUAAAGACUUCAAUAUAUCCCAACAAGCGGAAUGUUGCGUUUGGUACUAUUCGGAGUACUGGUCCAAGAACCAAGGCUGGUGGUAUCGAGUUAGGUGCUGAAUUUUCCCUUGUGUGCAUUGAUCAACCUGUUAUUGAUAAUGAGGAGUUGGUAAGGGAAGUUUCUGAUUGCAAGGCAAUUGGUGAUGCUUUCUCUUAAGGAUACUUAAUUGCCUGGCCUUUAGCUUUUAUUUGAGAGAAGGACAAUUGAGUUGCAGCCGAAUUCUUGGAUCAAGAAGCAUUUUUUCAAGAAUUUAGCUACUAAUAGUCAUAGUUUUACAUUGAUAGACUCAAAAAUGCAAUGUCAUCCACAAGAUCUUUUUCUUUGUUCCAAUUGAUGCAACUACUAUGUUGUAAUAUUCUCCAUAGUUGUGUUUUAUAUGCUAAAAAAGAUAUGAAUGGUAUCUUUAUUGUAAUGCAUAUGUAUCAUACACUCUUGUAUAUUUGUAAUAAAUAUCUUCAUAUUUCAAAUUUA